rnacentral:tRNA from 1 species
GGCUCCGUGGCGCAAUGGCAGCGCGUCUGACUCCAGAUCAGAAGGCUGGGUGUUCGAGUCACUCCGGGGUCA